rnacentral:siRNA from 1 species
GAUUACCAUCACGAUGGAUGUACC